rnacentral:lncRNA from 1 species
ACAUCUUCAUCACAUCAGAUCAGCUUCUGAACUUCAGAUGUCUCUGCUGGGUAGGGCUUGUGGGAGAGCUGGGCUCCACAGCAGGGUUGGCCACGUGACCUCAUGCAGCCUGCUCUCCUGGUUCUCAGGCUUGCCUUCCAUCCUGCUGAUGAGGAAAGAAAAAGAUUUCCAAAAUCUGUAAUGAGAUAGGUUUGGGGUGAGGGUGCACAGCAAACACCCAUCACCUCAGAUAACUCAGGCAAAGAAACCAAUGCCAUGGAAUGUUCACUUCUCUCAUCAGAUGUCUGCUUACCUGAGCACUGGACUAGAGAUCUGGAUACUGGCUUAGUUAAGUGAUUGCUUUCCAAUCCUGAUUAAGAAGAUGUGGGAGUUCCCAUCGUGGCACAGUGGUUAAUGAAUCCGACUAAGAACCAUGAGGUUGAAGGUUCGAUCCCUGGCCUUGCUCAGUGGGUUAAGGAUCUGGCGUUUCCAUGAGCUGUGGUGUAGUUUGCAGACACGGCUCUGAUCCUGAGUUGCUGUGGCUCUGGCGUAGGCCAGUGGCUACAGCUCCGAUUCAACCCCUAGCCUGGGAACCUCCAUAUGCUGCAGAAGCGGCCCUAGAAAAGGCAAAAAGACAAAAAAAAAAAAAAAAAAAAAAAAAAAAAAAAGGAGAUGUGGUACAUAUACACAAUGGAAUAAAAAAGAACAAAACAAUGCCCUUUGCAGCAACAUGGAUGGAACUAGAAACUCUCAUACUAAGUGAAGUAAGUCAGAAGGAAGAAGACAAAUAUCAUAUGAUGUCACAUAUCUGGAAUCUAAUAUAUGGCACAAAUAAACCUAUCUACAGAAAAGAAACAAACUCAUGGACAUGGAGAAUAGACUUGUGGUUGUCAAGAGGGAGAGGGAGGGAAUGGGAGGGACUGGGAAUUUGGGGUUGGUAGAUGCAGACUAUUGCGUUUGGAAUGGAUAAGCAAUGAGGUUCUGCAGUUAUAGCCAAAGGAAUUAUAUCUGAUCAUGUGAUGGAACAUGAUGGAGGAUUAUGUGAAAAAAAAAGUAAUGUAUAUAUAUGUAUAACUGGGUCACUUUGCUGCAUGGCAGAAAUUGACAGACUAUUGUAAAUCAACUAUAGUAUUUUUUUUUUAAAAAAAGAAAGUGAUUUGUUUUCUACUGAAAAACUGUAAAGCUUCUUAUCUGGUAGAAUACAACUUAGCUACUUCAGAACAACUAGAUUAAACCCAUGUCCUUUCUAUGCUACAUCAUUUGCUUGCUGACUGUUGCAACUUUGCACAAUUAGUGCUGUCAGUUCUUAUGUGUGCUAUUCAAACCAUGGAUUUUAAUCAACUUCAGAUUCCAGGACUCAAGGGUUAAAGAGUCCCUUGAUCUCAGAAAAUCUUGUAAAUACUUUUGUAGUGGUGAGUCUAUAUACGACACAAUGCUCUAUCUCUCAAAACCAGAGCCAGUGGCUUUCAACAAGUCAAGUUACUCUACUUAUGAAAUAAAUGUAAGUGCAAAUUUAGUUUUGAAUAUUAUAUAAUUAAGAAUUCAUGUAUACAUUGAUUUAAGAACCAAUGUAUAGAUUACUUCCAAUCAAUACACAGAGGGAACUGACAAAUAGAGAUACCCUUCACUUCAAGAAGUGCUGAGUAAAAUAUAAGAUAAUAUGAUAUGAUGUAACAUGGGAUAAAUUAAUUUCUGAAUUCAAAAGCAUGGAAGAGAAAUCUGGAGGUACAUGAAUUGAGAGUGAACUUAAAGUCAGAACAGUGAGUGGGAGCUGAAGCUGAAUAGUGCACAGUUGCCUACAGAAGCAGGAUAUAAACCCUUAGGUGGAAGGAAGAAAGGCUGGGAUUUUCAUGGUUGGAAGAAGAGAAGAUGAGAUCUCAUAUUCCUAUAAAGCGAGUUGAAACUCACCUCCUCACAGAAGGCCAGGUGUCAGAGAUAUUCCAUCCAUGAGAUAGAUUGGAAAAUUUCUGUCUAAUAGUCUAGGAAUAAGCAUGUGAGUAGACCACAUUUUCUGAGCCAAAGGCUGAAUGAAAAAGUAUAACCUAAGAGAAAUCAGACCUCAAAUCUAAGUUGAGAGAAGGUGUCCCACCCUAAUUUACACUACCUGCACAAUGUUGAAACUUCAAGCAAGGAAACUAAUGUUUUUGACCACUGUUCCCACAGUGGGCGAUAUUCAGAGCACUCAGCCCUGAGAGAGUAAAAUGGAUGUUGAGAUCAUCUGGACUGAAUAUGUCUUUGAACCCUGUUACAGCCUCCAUAUAAACUUUAAGAUUCUGGCCAGUAGGUAGGGAGAUCUACUUAUCUUUCUUUCACCAACGACAAGCCUCGUAUGUGUUUCCUU